GCCGGGCGUUGGUGGCACAUGCCUUUAAACCCAGCACUAGGGAGGCAGAGGCAGGCGGAUCUCUGUGAGUUCGAGGCCAGCCUGGUCUCCAGAGUGAGUGCCAGCAUAGGCUCCAAAGCUACACAGAGAAACACUGUCUCGAAAAUCAAAAAAAAAAAAAAUUGAUUCCAUUUAUGCAUUCAUUAUGUGUAGGGGAGGGCAUGUAUGUGUAGGCGGGAUUGGGUUCUUCUGUUAUACGGGUUUGGGGGAUCAAACUCGGGUGGUCAGGCUUGGCUGCAAGAGCCUUUACCCAAUGAACCAUCCCACCCACACAGAAAGCUAAAAUUGAUAGUGCUUGUUGAAAACGGAAAUUCUCAUGGAACUGCAUCUGCAAGAGCAGCAUAAACCUAUGAGGGCGGAGUGUCCUUUGUGUCCCUCUUUUAGGAAUAUAGGUUUGUGGAGGGGGUGGGAGUGGCUAUGGAAAUUCUAAGAGGAAGAUUGUUGCAGUACUAGGGCUUCAGGCAAGGCAGUGCAGGUCGGUCACUGUACAAGAGUUCCUGGCAGAGGUUUAAGUUUACCAAGCUCCACGCAUGAAGGGGCUCUGUCUACCCGCACCAAAUACUUUCCAGUGGCAUAAAUGCAUGAAGAAGUUGGCUUUAAGGGAGCGCUUCCAAUUUUCUUUAAUUUCAAAGUAUCUUUUCCAAGGAUCCUGCGGCACAGCUGGAAUCCCUCCUUCUGCGGAGAAACCUGAGCUCUGGGAAAAGGAGAUGGAUGACCUCAUUGCUGUAAGCGGCGCCCAUCGCUGCAGUUUCCUCUCUGGUCACUAGAUGGCCACACCGACCAGGCACCAGCACCUAAGGGAGGAGGGGUCGUUACUGAGAUUAGAAGCUGCAGGCAGUUUUAGGGAAAGGACGCCAGCUCCGCCGAAGCACACACCCAGCAAAGCUGUUUUUGUCCGAGAAUCUAGCGGUUGUUCGGUUCACGAGGCUGAUAUCUCAGCUGGUCUUUAGUAGAUGCCAGAAUCCGGAAGAAAUAAGCUCUAAUGCCAGAGAGAGAAAGCAGGCAAAAAGCAAGCUUUCUUCUUCGCUGUGGACUGCAGACAGAAGGAUCAGCAAGAUGGUAACCAUCCUUGCCGCCAAGCCUGAUGACCUGACUUCAAUCCCCGGGACCCACGUAGUAGGAGAAAACUCACUCCAGAAGGUCGUCCCUGAUCUUCAUUUGAGCUUUUCAGAUAAGUGACACUAGGUUGUGCCAAGUUGACAAUGCCCAAUUAGCAUGCCCAGGCCUGGCUUCUGUCCCCCAGCGCUGCAGCAUAAACAAAAGAGCAAAACAAUUCAUAGAUGGAGAGACAGUGCUGCCCUUGCUAGCUGUCAAACUUCCAGCAGGGGGCGCACUGGUUGCUGAUUACUACAGCACCUGUCAGCAAACAUGCUCACUGCAGGUGCUGGGUUGAGCUUCAGGGUGCUUUGGAAAGCCUGGCUGAAGGGAAGUUAGCUGCCACACCAUGUCUCCACAAAGGAACCAGGACCUUCUCAUUCUUGUCAGAGGGGCAUGAGGCAGGGGAAUAGCAGGAGGUUGGCUCUGGUCACAAAAGGUACAUUUCCUCUGCCACUGGGCCUUGGAGGAGCUGCCCCAGGCAGAGCAGAAUUCCUGUCUAGCUCCUCCUGGCUCUUCUCACUCUCAGCAAAUUGAAAGUGCUUGUUUGCUCCGUGUGUGUGUGUGUGUGUGUGUGUGUGUGUGUGUGUGUGUGUGUCUGUGUGUGUGUGUGUAUGACAGUAUCUCACCAUGUAGCUCUGGCUGUCCUGGAACUAAACUAACUAUAUAGACCAGGCUGGCCUUGAACUCACAGGAGAUUCCCUUGGCUCUUUCUUCCCCAGUGCUGAGAUUUAAAGUGUGCAUCUCUGCUCCCAGCCCUUGUGUGUAAAGUGGUGUGAGCUACAGAGAGAAGAGGUGAAAGGCUCUCCCCCUCCCUCCCUCUCUCCCUCCCUUCCUCCCUCCCUACUCCUCCUCCAUCUUUCUCAACUCUAAGUUUUCAUUUUAUUAAUCCUGUUAUUAAAAAUUCACACAAGAGUCUGGGGGAUGACCCAGUCAAGAGUGCACACAGCUCUUGCAAAGGACCUGCAUAGGGCGUUACGAAGUUAGAAAACACCGAAAGACCACCCAACUCUAUCCAGUUAUAAUUAGCUGGGUUUUUAUUUUAAGCUGCAGCUGUACUCUGUUCCCAUAGUAGAAAUUAGAACUGAGGCCCAGCUUAAAGUGGGGGAGGGAGGGGAGCUUUUGAAGGCAGGUCACAAUUUCUUUAUUCCUGUGGAAUUUACAGCUAGGUGAGGAACAGCCUCUGUCCACAACAAUAACGGAGUUUACAGGAACUAGAACAAGCAUUUAAUCAUCUCUCAACAGUUUUAAAAUUCUAGGGAGGUAGGCAAGGAGUUGCCAGCAGCUUGCUUGUCUUUCAGGAAUUGAGAAUGGGUGCCUAGCACAAAGUUGAGUUUUCCCGAGCCAUUGUCAGGAGACUCACAAUCACCUGCAACUUCAGCUCCAGGGACCCAACACCAUCUUCUGGCAUCUGUGAGCCCCUGCACUCACAUGCACAUGCGUGCAGACAUGCACAGUAAUAUAAAUAAAUCUUUCUUUAAAAUGCACACAGCCUCCAACAGGCACCGUAACUGUAGGGUCCUUACUCUUGCUUUUGGCAUCCACACUGACCUUCAGAGCUCCUGACCUUCUUCACACUGUCCCAGUCACCCUUUCACUUUUUUUUUGGUGGGGUCGUUUACCUCCUGUAAGCCCGAGUAUGGAUUCACUUUUCUUUCCCCAAUCCAAGAGAUUGUGAACCAUGCCAAGGCCAGGCAUCUUGCCAGCACCAUAACAAUCCUGAAGCCAUAUGCAAUGACGAUGCUCAUGUGGCCUUGCGUGUUCCAGCUUAUUCUUCCCGAACUCCUGUCUUAGAUUCAGUGUUCAGAGUCUCUAGCCAUGCUGUCCUGUGACUGGUGGCUGUGAGUACUAAUGGUUGAGGGUGGAGUGGGUAGAUGAAAGCUUUGUUAGGGUGGCAGAGACAGCACAGUGAAUAAGGUCAGGAGAGACGGCUCAGUGAGUACAGUGCUUGUUGUUCAAGCUUGAGGACCUGCUUCUGAAUCCACAUAAGAGCUGGAUAGGGAGGUAUGUGCUUGUAACCCCAUCUCUGGGUGGACAGAAACAGGAAGACCUGGCAGCUUUCUGUUCAGUGAGAGACCCUGUCUCAAAAAAUGAGGAGAAGAGUGACACCGGAGAAAACUGAUGUCACCUGGCCUCCACAGUCACACCUACACACACACACACACACACACACCAUACACACAUACAAUACACCCACACAACACCCACCAUGCACAUACACACACAGCAUAGUUUUAUUACUGAAUUUUUAUUUUCUUUAACUGUGCCCAGAAUAAUAGGCCGCAGUAAUAGAGUUUAGAAUUUACCAAGUUCUUCCCCAAAACUCUUACAAAAUCAUUUAAUCCCCACGAAAUCAUGCCUAUAAGGCAGGUGCUACCACUGUCCCCCUUCUACAAGGAAGAAAGCCCAGGUCCAGGGAAGACAAAAGCCUUUCUGAAGGCUGCCAGAGAACCCCGGAGCAUGAAUUUAUUUCUCAGUUCUGAGUGUUGAACUCACAGUCUUUUCCCACACUAAGGCAGCACUGUACUAUUGAGCCACACCUCAAGAUCUGUUUUGGAAUUUAAUGAUGUUUCUUUUUCUCUCCUUUAAAAAAAAAGGCUUCACUAUCUAGACCAGGCUGGCCUGGAACUCACUAUGUAGCCCUGGCUGGCCUUGAAGUCACAGAGAUCCACUUGCCUCUGCCUCCCAAGUGCUAUGAUUAAGGGCAUGGACCUUCACGCCCAGCUGACGCUUUCUUUGAAAUAAAUGUUUUAUCAGUUUUUGUAAAUGUACUAUAGAUUAUGGACUCAAGCUCAUAACUAUUAAUUUUACCUUAUGAACAGGGUCACUCAUAUUAGUGCAUGCCUUUGGCUCAUUUCAUCCACACGGGAUAAAUCAGAGGCUGUUUAAAUUGACUUCUUCAUAUUGUAAAACUUUUUAAAAGUUACUUCCACCUUAUGCUAUAUUUUCCUUGCCAUUAACUACCUCCUCCCUCUCCCUUCCUCCUCUUCUUCAUUUUUCAAAAUAAUAUUUUUAUGUUUAAUUGUGGGUGCGCAUGCCCCCCCUCUCUGUGUGGGGGUGUAUGCACGUGCACACACGCACGCAAGCAGAUGUCUGAAGAGGCCAGAAGAGGGCAUCAUGCUGCUGAGAGCUGUGACUGAGGUGUGCCAAGAAUCAGCCUGGCUCAUAGCAGCCUAACCAGCUCUCUAGGUUGCUUCUUUGGUUUCUCUAAGACAGAGUUGCAUGUAACCCAGGCUUGUCUCAAGCUCAGGAUGUAACCAAGGAUAACCAUAAACUCGUCAUUCUGUUCUCUCGUCUUCACCUUCCAAGUACUAUAGUUCACUCUCAUGUCUGGCAGGUGUUAUAUUGUCCAGAUUCUAGAAUUUUCUAUUGUACACAUGUAUUUUUUUCAUGCUUACUCAUCUUUAAAGGUGAAAGUUUUACACAUGCUUUGCAUUUGUUCCCAAACAGGAUGAUGUCAUUCUUUCCUGGCCCCUGCCUGUCCUUGUAGAUUCUGCAGGAAUCUUCCUCUCAUAUUUUAACUGCAGUUUAGUCACCUUCCAGCAUCCUAAGCCUUGUAUGGAAAACACCAUCCACAGAAGAGGUUCCUCUCUGUGCUUUGUGAAGCCACUGUCCCUGGGGGCCAAAGGCUGCCUGGCCUCUAGCCUUACUUCCUGACUAGUGGCCGAAUGGUUGCAGCUUGGCCAUUGUCCUGGGAUUCCAUCUCCAGCGCUGGAGAAGAGAAUUGUCACUCAAGGCCCUUUCAACCUUCCAGCCUUCUACCUGCGUGAAAGAGGAGAGGUGACAGCUGAGCAGAGGAGACGGAGAACACAAGCUGCUACCCGAACAGAUUCUGAGGAACCCUUGACUCCCAGUCUUGCGUGAAGAUCUACUUUCAGAGGCACCUGACAGGGACUCCUGUAUCCCAGGCUGGUCUUAAAUCUGAAAAGUAGCUGAGGACGACCUUGAAUUCCUGAUCCUUCUGCUCUACCUCCUACCCCAGCCAAGUGCUGGGAUUACAGUCCAGUUUUGUUGUAAGACUUUAAAAAAAAAAAAACUACACUUGCUUUUGUUCAAGAGAAACAUGAGGUAAAAAAUAUGUAUUCAUUUUGGUAUAUUUUAAAAUGUGUGUGGGUAUAUUGUCUGUAUGCAUGUCUGUGCCUGUGGAGGCCAGAGGAGAUUGUUGGAUCACUUGGAACUGGAGUUAUAGUUGUUUGUAAGCCACCUUGUGAGUGCUGGAAAUUGAACCUGGGGUCCUUCAGAAGAGCAGUGGUGUUCUUUUUAUAUUUAUAAAACUAUUGUUUUAUUUUAUGUGUAUGAAUGUUUUGUUUGCAAAUAUGUAUGUGCAUCAUGUGUGCCUG
rnacentral:lncRNA from 1 species